UUAAGCGACUAAGCGUACACGGUGGAUGCCCUGGCAGUCAGAGGCGAUGAAGGACGUGCUAAUCUGCGAUAAGCGUCGGUAAGGUGAUAUGAACCGUUAUAACCGGCGAUUUCCGAAUGGGGAAACCCAGUGUGUUUCGACACACUAUCAUUAACUGAAUCCAUAGGUUAAUGAGGCGAACCGGGGGAACUGAAACAUCUAAGUACCCCGAGGAAAAGAAAUCAACCGAGAUUCCCCCAGUAGCGGCGAGCGAACGGGGAGGAGCCCAGAGCCUGAAUCAGUGUGUGUGUUAGUGGAAGCGUCUGGAAAGGCGCGCGAUACAGGGUGACAGCCCCGUACACAAAAAUGCACAUGCUGUGAGCUCGAUGAGUAGGGCGGGACACGUGGUAUCCUGUCUGAAUAUGGGGGGACCAUCCUCCAAGGCUAAAUACUCCUGACUGACCGAUAGUGAACCAGUACCGUGAGGGAAAGGCGAAAAGAACCCCGGCGAGGGGAGUGAAAAAGAACCUGAAACCGUGUACGUACAAGCAGUGGAAGCCUCUUUAUGGGGUGACUGCGUACCUUUUGUAUAAUGGGUCAGCGACUUAUAUUCUGUAGCAAGGUUAACCGAAUAGGGGAGCCGAAGGGAAACCGAGUCUUAACUGGGCGUUAAGUUGCAGGGUAUAGACCCGAAACCCGGUGAUCUAGCCAUGGGCAGGUUGAAGGUUGGGUAACACUAACUGGAGGACCGAACCGACUAAUGUUGAAAAAUUAGCGGAUGACUUGUGGCUGGGGGUGAAAGGCCAAUCAAACCGGGAGAUAGCUGGUUCUCCCCGAAAGCUAUUUAGGUAGCGCCUCGUGAAUUCAUCUCCGGGGGUAGAGCACUGUUUCGGCAAGGGGGUCAUCCCGACUUACCAACCCGAUGCAAACUGCGAAUACCGGAGAAUGUUAUCACGGGAGACACACGGCGGGUGCUAACGUCCGUCGUGAAGAGGGAAACAACCCAGACCGCCAGUUAAGGUCCCAAAGUCAUGGUUAAGUGGGAAACGAUGUGGGAAGGCCCAGACAGCCAGGAUGUUGGCUUAGAAGCAGCCAUCAUUUAAAGAAAGCGUAAUAGCUCACUGGUCGAGUCGGCCUGCGCGGAAGAUGUAACGGGGCUAAACCAUGCACCGAAGCUGCGGCAGCGACGCUUAUGCGUUGUUGGGUAGGGGAGCGUUCUGUAAGCCUGCGAAGGUGUACUGUGAGGUAUGCUGGAGGUAUCAGAAGUGCGAAUGCUGACAUAAGUAACGAUAAAGCGGGUGAAAAGCCCGCUCGCCGGAAGACCAAGGGUUCCUGUCCAACGUUAAUCGGGGCAGGGUGAGUCGACCCCUAAGGCGAGGCCGAAAGGCGUAGUCGAUGGGAAACAGGUUAAUAUUCCUGUACUUGGUGUUACUGCGAAGGGGGGACGGAGAAGGCUAUGUUGGCCGGGCGACGGUUGUCCCGGUUUAAGCGUGUAGGCUGGUUUUCCAGGCAAAUCCGGAAAAUCAAGGCUGAGGCGUGAUGACGAGGCACUACGGUGCUGAAGUAACAAAUGCCCUGCUUCCAGGAAAAGCCUCUAAGCAUCAGGUAACAUCAAAUCGUACCCCAAACCGACACAGGUGGUCAGGUAGAGAAUACCAAGGCGCUUGAGAGAACUCGGGUGAAGGAACUAGGCAAAAUGGUGCCGUAACUUCGGGAGAAGGCACGCUGAUAUGUAGGUGAAGCGACUUGCUCGUGGAGCUGAAAUCAGUCGAAGAUACCAGCUGGCUGCAACUGUUUAUUAAAAACACAGCACUGUGCAAACACGAAAGUGGACGUAUACGGUGUGACGCCUGCCCGGUGCCGGAAGGUUAAUUGAUGGGGUUAGCGGUAACGCGAAGCUCUUGAUCGAAGCCCCGGUAAACGGCGGCCGUAACUAUAACGGUCCUAAGGUAGCGAAAUUCCUUGUCGGGUAAGUUCCGACCUGCACGAAUGGCGUAAUGAUGGCCAGGCUGUCUCCACCCGAGACUCAGUGAAAUUGAACUCGCUGUGAAGAUGCAGUGUACCCGCGGCAAGACGGAAAGACCCCGUGAACCUUUACUAUAGCUUGACACUGAACAUUGAGCCUUGAUGUGUAGGAUAGGUGGGAGGCUUUGAAGUGUGGACGCCAGUCUGCAUGGAGCCGACCUUGAAAUACCACCCUUUAAUGUUUGAUGUUCUAACGUUGGCCCCUAAUCGGGGUUGCGGACAGUGUCUGGUGGGUAGUUUGACUGGGGCGGUCUCCUCCUAAAGAGUAACGGAGGAGCACGAAGGUUGGCUAAUCCUGGUCGGACAUCAGGAGGUUAGUGCAAUGGCAUAAGCCAGCUUGACUGCGAGCGUGACGGCGCGAGCAGGUGCGAAAGCAGGUCAUAGUGAUCCGGUGGUUCUGAAUGGAAGGGCCAUCGCUCAACGGAUAAAAGGUACUCCGGGGAUAACAGGCUGAUACCGCCCAAGAGUUCAUAUCGACGGCGGUGUUUGGCACCUCGAUGUCGGCUCAUCACAUCCUGGGGCUGAAGUAGGUCCCAAGGGUAUGGCUGUUCGCCAUUUAAAGUGGUACGCGAGCUGGGUUUAGAACGUCGUGAGACAGUUCGGUCCCUAUCUGCCGUGGGCGCUGGAGAACUGAGGGGGGCUGCUCCUAGUACGAGAGGACCGGAGUGGACGCAUCACUGGUGUUCGGGUUGUCAUGCCAAUGGCACUGCCCGGUAGCUAAAUGCGGAAGAGAUAAGUGCUGAAAGCAUCUAAGCACGAAACUUGCCCCGAGAUGAGUUCUCCCUGACUCCUUGAGAGUCCUGAAGGAACGUUGAAGACGACGACGUUGAUAGGCCGGGUGUGUAAGCGCAGCGAUGCGUUGAGCUAACCGGUACUAAUGAACCGUGAGGCUUAACCUU
rnacentral:rRNA from 1 species